AGUUGAGGGAAGGGGAUCCCAGUUGAGACAAAUGGUAUAUGGCACUCAUCCUACCCCCCUUUAGGCGCUUCCACAGAUGGAAUAGUAAUGUGGCAUGAGGUGUUACCGGAGUGGGUUCAAUCAGGGCUGUAAAGGCAACAAAAGAUUCUUACACAGAGAACUAUUUCUUAAUAAUUUCCUCUCCUGUACCAAAGCUAGUACAGCAAUUCAUUUCCUGUUACACUAUGAUAUCAGCAUGUUUUCAACUUAGCAAACCACAAAAAUGCCAGAGAUGAUUGAGCAGAACAACUCCUAGCUACAGAGCUAUAUAGUAGGCAAGAAGCACCAUCUCCAGCUGCGGAAUACUUCUUUCAGAUUCCUGGGAGAGAUCAAAACACAUGAUGAUCAUGAAAAUCAUAUUGUUCCUAGCUGUGCUGUUAUUACUGGAUCUACCUUUUUGCUCUAACAAACAUUUUCCUGAUAUAGACAAUCCUCAGUUUAUUGAAGAUUGUGUGAGAAUUCAUAACCAUUUUCGAUCUAGGGUGAAUCCAACAGCCAGCAACAUGCGUCGCAUGUCCUGGGACUCCGCUCUGGCUAAAACUGCCAGAGCAUGGGCAAAGAAAUGUCACUUUGGUCACAACAUCUAUCUUAAAGUACCAGGAAAGGUACAUCCCACCUUUACUCCAGUUGGAGAAAACAUCUGGACUGGCAGCACCUUAUUUUCUGUGAAUGCAGCCCUUACUGACUGGUAUGAUGAAGUCAAUAUGUAUGAUUUUGAGAGCCGUGCCUGUACCGGCCUGUGUGGCCAUUACACCCAGGUUGUUUGGGCCAAAAGUUACAAAGUUGGCUGUGCAGUUCAGUUCUGUCAUAAAGUUACAAAUUUUCCUGAGAUCUCCAAUGCAGCACAUUUUGUUUGCAACUAUGGACCUGCUGGGAAUUAUCAAACAAAACCUUACAAAGCAGGAGCAACAUGCAGUCAGUGCAAUGGUGAAAAGUGUGCAGGCAACCUCUGUGAAAACCCAGAACGUGAGCAACUGAUAAUUUAUGACAACUGGUAUCCAGACUGGGACACAACUCCACACCUCCCCUUGCCUAGGCCUCCAUACCCUUCCACUCCUUCAUCCCCCAGCCCUUCUGUGCCUUCACGCUCCUUUUGUAACCAAUACUGUAUUGUUGUUUUAGUUUUAAGGCCACUGUUUGUGUUUCUGGCCUUUGGUGCUGUCUUUCUAGUACAAUGGCAGUAUCCUCAAUUAUUUAUCUAUGAAUAAUCUCCAUUUCAAGAUAUUCAGCAGCACUGUUUAGUUCUGUUAUAUCACUGAAGCAAGGGAAUCACACAGAAGAACAAUAUAGGCAGGAUUGUUUUUAUAACAGAAAAAUGUUAACCCCCAUUAUUUGAUCUUUUAGCCUUUGAGCAUCACUAUACUUUAAAAAUUUUCCCACUGUUCUUAUCUGUGUCCAAGAUACAUUUCCCCCCUUCAAGAAGAGGAUGAACAAGUAAAAUUAUCCCCCGUUAAGAUAUUUAGGGAAGAGCUGCCCUUUUUAGCUCCACAGAAUAUUGUCUGACCAUUUAGACUCUAAUGAGUCUGUUGACAAAUCUAAGUAAACACAAACACAUGCUACAAUGUGCUAUUUAAGGAGCCACUUCCCACUUCUUGUCAGAAUCAGAACUGCUAGACUGCUUACCAUAGAAGCUAGGCCAGUGAUUCUCAGUGAGGGUGCUGGGAGACCCUGAGCUGCUGCUGGAUCUUUUGAAAGGUAUGUGAAUCUGAGGUCUGAGGAGAUAAGUGUUAGCAAAUAAGCAGCUGAACUAGCAGAAAAGCUCAGGCUCAGGCUUAUCCCUGCCUGGAUGAUCCUCCUACUUACACUGCCAGGCCCCUCCAUAAGGAAGUAAGCAUUGUAAUUUAUAAAUUAGUUUUUGAAAUUUGGUGCCACUCAAAUCCCAGAAGUUACAGAGGGGUGCCUCAAGUCCAAAAAGAUUGAGGACCACUGGGCUGGACUAUAAGCUAGUGAUUGUCAGCCAAGGUACCACAGCAUCCUAACAUGCCUUGAUCUUUUCAAGGGUGAUGCAGGGUGCCACACAACAUUAACACUGUUAGGUAUGUUAAUGUGAUUCAUAUGUUAAACUUGAAUCUUUCAAUUAGAAUCCAUAGCAUUAAAAACAGUCUGCCCUGCUGUGGUCUUUGAGUUCUCUGCAACUGAAGAAUUGCUCUAUUGAUUUUCCUGUAGUCAAAAACCAAGUGAAAACUUUUAGAGCUGACAUUUUCUGAGGGGUGCCUCAAGUCUACCCACAGGUGUCUUGAGUCUCUCCGGGGGUGUAGUGAGUCUAAAGAGCUUGGGAACCACUGCUAUAAGCUACUAAUGGAGAUUCUUCUUUAACUUAAAUCUUAGUUUUGGGAACUAGAGAAAUCCAAAUCCAGCAAUACCAAGUUUCUGGUGGCCACUGUAUUCAGCAUAACAAAAAUGUGAUUCUGGGUGGUCACAGACGUGUUACAGUACUAUACAGUGUUAAUAGAUUUAGAAUCUGUAAAGUGGAGAAAGGUUAAACACCACUGCUGGAUCAAAGGUAUCUCCUGGGCUUUUCUGAUGCUUGAGGAAAACUACUAUUGUUCUGUGUGGCUUCACAGUUGGAUAAAACCACAGUACAUUGUUUUCAGCAGACUAAAGUCCUCAACAAGCAAGAUUAAACUACUUUAAAAAGUGGCCUUCAUGAACAUAAUUGAAUUCUCAGACUCCUGCAUACACUGAAUUUUCAUUGAAGUUUCAGCUAUACUCAGGCCAGAGAUCAUAAAACAUUUUUUUCAAUAUGACUGUGCGCUCCAUGACAACUUUUUCUUU